AGCAGUAGCCGCGGGAAUACGUAGGUGGCAAGCGUUGUCCGGAAUUAUUGGGCGUAAAGGGCUCGCAGGCGGUUUCUUAAGUCUGAUGUGAAAGCCCCCGGCUCAACCGGGGAGGGUCAUUGGAAACUGGGAAACUUGAGUGCAGAAGAGGAGAGUGGAAUUCCACGUGUAGCGGUGAAAUGCGUAGGGAUGUGGAGGAACUCCAGUGGCGGAGGCGACUCUCUGGUCUGUAGCUGACGCUGAGGAGCGAAAGCGUGAGGAGCGAACAGGAUUAGAUACCCCCGUAGUCCCUGUCUCUUAUAC
rnacentral:rRNA from 1 species